rnacentral:rRNA from 1 species
AUUGAACGCUGGCGGCAUGCCUUACACAUGCAAGUCGAACGGCAGCACGGAGCUUGCUCUGGUGGCGAGUGGCGAACGGGUGAGUAAUAUAUCGGAACGUACCCUAGAGUGGGGGAUAACGUAGCGAAAGUUACGCUAAUACCGCAUACGAUCUAAGGAUGAAAGUGGGGGAUUCGCAAGAACCUCAUGCUCGUGGAGCGGCCGAUAUCUGAUUAGCUAGUUGGUAGGGUAAAAGCCUACCAAGGCAUCGAUCAGUAGCUGGUCUGAGAGGACGACCAGCCACACUGGAACUGAGACACGGUCCAGACUCCUACGGGAGGCAGCAGUGGGGAAUUUUGGACAAUGGGCGAAAGCCUGAUCCAGCAAUGCCGCGUGAGUGAAGAAGGCCUUCGGGUUGUAAAGCUCUUUUGUCAGGGAAGAAACGGUGAAAGCUAAUAUCUUUUGCUAAUGACGGUACCUGAAGGAUAAGCACCGGCUAACUACGCGCCAGCAGCCGCGGUAAUACGUAGGGUGCAAGCGUUAAUCGGAAUUACUGGGCGUAAAGCGUGCGCAGGCGGUUUUGUAAGUCUGAUGUGAAAUCCCCGGGCUCAACCUGGGAAUUGCAUUGGAGACUGCAAGGCUAGAAUCUGGCAGAGGGGGGUAGAAUUCCACGUGUAGCAGUGAAAUGCGUAGAUAUGUGGAGGAACACCGAUGGCGAAGGCAGCCCCCUGGGUCAAGAUUGACGCUCAUGCACGAAAGCGUGGGGAGCAAACAGGAUUAGAUACCCUGGUAGUCCACGCCCUAAACGAUGUCUACUAGUUGUCGGGUCUUAAUUGACUUGGUAACGCAGCUAACGCGUGAAGUAGACCGCCUGGGGAGUACGGUCGCAAGAUUAAAACUCAAAGGAAUUGACGGGGACCCGCACAAGCGGUGGAUGAUGUGGAUUAAUUCGAUGCAACGCGAAAAACCUUACCUACCCUUGACAUGGCUGGAAUCCUUGAGAGAUCAGGGAGUGCUCGAAAGAGAACCAGUACACAGGUGCUGCAUGGCUGUCGUCAGCUCGUGUCGUGAGAUGUUGGGUUAAGUCCCGCAACGAGCGCAACCCUUGUCAUUAGUUGCUACGAAAGGGCACUCUAAUGAGACUGCCGGUGACAAACCGGAGGAAGGUGGGGAUGACGUCAAGUCCUCAUGGCCCUUAUGGGUAGGGCUUCACACGUCAUACAAUGGUACAUACAGAGCGCCGCCAACCCGCGAGGGGGAGCUAAUCGCAGAAAGUGUAUCGUAGUCCGGAUUGUAGUCUGCAACUCGACUGCAUGAAGUUGGAAUCGCUAGUAAUCGCGGAUCAGCAUGUCGCGGUGAAUACGUUCCCGGGUCU